rnacentral:tRNA from 1 species
AUUGUUGUGGCUCAGUGGUGGAGCAUUUGCCUAGCACAUAUGAGGCACUGAGUUCAAUCCUCAGCACCACAUA